rnacentral:rRNA from 1 species
UACGUAGGGUGCAAGCGUUAAUCGGAAUUACUGGGCGUAAAGCGUGUGUAGGCGGCCACGUAAGUCGGAUGUGAAAGCCCCGGGCUCAACCCGGGAAGUGCACUCGAUACUGCGUGGCUUGAGUACUGGAGAGGUUGGUGGAAUUCUCGGUGUAGAGGUGAAAUUCGUAGAUAUCGAGAGGAACACCGGUGGCGAAGGCGGCCAACUGGACAGAUACUGACGCUGAGACACGAAAGCG